rnacentral:siRNA from 1 species
AGGGUGUGUCACUUUGAAGAUUUU